ensembl:lncRNA
AACCGAGCGAAGCUUUGAGGUGGGAGGGAAACACUGAAAGGACGGAAGACAAAUAAAAGGGAUGUGAUCACAGAAAAGAAAGUGUGAGGCAGGAGAGAGGAGGAGGAAAAUGGAGGCAGGAGAAGGACACAAGCGAGAGAAUGAAAAAAGGAGACAUCAAAGUGAAAGGAGUACCGUAAUAUUGAGAAAAGAGACCCACGGUUCACCAGUUCCCUCAAACCACUCACUAUGUGACGCUGUCUGUCAUUAAGAGUCUGCAACAAGUGGCUGCAUAGCGGGGCGCGGCCACUACGGACUCCAGCGAGGCCUCCACGGGUCACGUGCUUCACGGGCCAACACCCGGUACUUUGACCGGAUAAUGGUUACUCUCACCUGCCAGGAUGGCUUUGUGCGCCUGCAGCUUCUGUCCAGCGACACACAGCGAGCAGCCGAUCAAACCACCGUAUCCACCCAUCCGCGUUCUCCUCGUGUCGGAGCGGUGAAUUCAGUUGGCUGUUUGCACGGAACCCAGCUGUGUCCGUGACUCACAGGGAGAAGCCCGCCAUUGACACAGAGGCCUUCAGCUGGAGCAUCUGCAGUCGUCUCCUCUGGCAUCGGCGCAGCAUAUGGCAGAGCCCAGUGAAGGAUGAGUGCUGUCACCCGGCAAAGUGCUUACCCACCGACAGGAGAGGAGAGCCGCACCAACACCAGGAGGAAGAGGAGGAAGCAGCUGAACGUCAGCACCCCCUCCACCCUUUAAUUCUCCCCCUGCCACCCUGCUCCUGAAAAGGGAGGCACUGGAGGAGCCUCAGAAGGGACGACCUCGGACCGGC